CUAGAAUAUUAAUUACAUAAUCUAUAACUACCGACGUUAGAUAGAUCCUUUGGACCAGCAACGAAAUACCUAGAGAUCCCAAAACUUGGCAUCUGGGCUCGAUUCCAAUUUUAAUUAAAUUUUAAAUCCAAAUCUCCAAAUUAUUGUUGAGCAUUUUCAGAUGAUCAAUGAUUCAAUGAUCUCUCGGACCGAGUUUUGGCCAAUAAGAAAUCAUAUAAAAAUCGACCAAUAUUAAUAGAGGUAGAAUCACGAAUUAUAUAUGCAUAUACAAGUAUGUCAAUAUUUAGGUGAACAAAACUUAACGCUUCAGCGAUAAAGAGUUAUGGGGCUCUAUUCAGAGAAAAUGUUUUCCUUUAGAUUCCGAAUAAGAAACAUUCGGAUACGUGCUCUCGAAGUCUGCUGAAACGCUUUCUUAUUAAUUUAGUGCAUGCUGCAGCAAAAGCGUGCCAAAAGCAAUAGCAGCAUCCCAUCCUCAUCGAGAAGCAAACAUGGCCAAUAGUCCGGUUGGUCGGGGUGGUCCGACCUGUUCAAGAACCUACGAAGACAGCGUCAUGCAACAAAUACGCCACAGCUUCAACACAAACGGCUGCAAGGGCGAAAGCGUACGCUAUCGCAUCUGCAAUAUUCAGCCAUAUCCGGAGCAGCAAGGCUAUCGUCCGUAUCAGCGUGCCGCCUAUAAUGACAUGCCCUAUGAUGGCACACUCUACCUGUGGACGCCACACUACGAUUAUAUGGAGCCAUGCGCGUUGACAUGCAGAAAUUUGGCGAUUCGAGACGUCAUCACAUGCUGUUCGAUAAGGGUCUACAAUUAGGCAUCGAUUUGGAAAAUUUCGAACAGGACGUGCAGAUGCGUCCACAAUUCGUUAUUGAAUAUCUGCGGGACCUUGUAGCGUCCGAGGUAUUUGCUCCAUUAUCUGUAGCAGUCACGAAGGACGGCAGCAGCAAUGAGUGGCACGAACAGGAAGCAACAUACCAUGUAAGCGCCAUCACUAGUACAACAACAACGUUGGCAUAAGAUAGAAAUGCCGUUGGCGCAACACACGAGGACGACGCACCACAUUUACCGCACGCCAGGUGGCAGAAGCGGGGUGAGCCAGAAACAGCCACAGUGGCCACGAGUAACCACGUCACGUACGAAAGGCGCAUCAGCGAUUGGUCGGAGUGUUCAGAGAAGCGUGGUAAUGCGGGCGGCAAAAGUAUAUGGCAAUGUUUGCCUACGUUUGCGCCAUCACACAUCUACAUACAACGUGUUGGAAUCACACAUGGCAGCGGACAUCGAAAAGGCGGACAAUGCGUACUGUGAGGAUUAUGGACUAAGCGUUCCUGACACGUUUGAAAUGUGCGUUCAAUAGGAGUGUGUCCUUUACGAGACCGUCGAGAGGACUUUGUGUCAGCGUUCUCGUUGCUUUGUACGCAAUACAGUCAUACAAAAGCGUGAGGUGAAAUGUCGAUUUGAGAAUGCGUCCCAAUAGACGGCAGGCGUGCUAUAGUCAGUGGUGCAAGGGGAUUGGUCGUGUUGAGCUAUGGUCCGAGUGCGGUCACCAGGGAAUUAAAUACCAUAAUAUACUGUGUGUUCAGUGUGGUACGCGCCGACCAGCAGCCAACGCUUGUCGCCACCAACCACUUUCCGCAGUUAUAAAAGUAUACAAGAGUCCGUCAUGCUUUGCAAAAGCGAGCAUCGUGUUGUAGCAACAGGCGAAAACAGAAGCAGGGCGUGUCUUGCCAAGUUCAUAUUGAGUUAAAUAAAGAAUAAUAAAACAUUAGCAACUCAGCGUAAAACUUUAGAAAGUACUGGAAUGAAGUACAAGAUCUGGUACUCAACAUAAGAAUAAAUAAUGUAGUAAAAUAAACAUACAAUGAGAUGCUAAUUAAUGUACUGAUAAUUUUAAGCGUUAAGUUGUUUGCUCAUAAUAAGAACAUAUAUGUUAAUGUUGACUUUGGAAAUAAUGCAUUUUUAUA